AGUUGCAAGUGCUCUAUCGCUUCGGGAAACCGGGGAGGAAAGUCCGGACAACAUAGAGCACCGCACCACCUAACGGGUGGGGAGGACACACAACGUUCUUACAGAUAGUGCCGCAGAAAAUAACCGCCUCGGCUUAGCCGUGGCAAGGGUGAAAACGUGCGGUAAGAGCGCACGCAUCGUUGUAGCAAUGCAGCGGUGGGGUAAACCUUGCGGGUUGAAAGCCAACGUACAUCAGCGCUUGAGGGCUGCUCGCCCGAUUGUUCGUUGAGGGGUGUGGCGUUUCAGGUACUGCGUGAGCAGUAUCGCAGAUAAAUGAUAGGGGUUCGCCUUGGCGAAAACAGAAUCCGGCUUAUAGCUUGCAACAUUUU
rnacentral:RNase_P_RNA from 1 species